GUAGUAAAAUGCAAAGCUAAGAAAAACUACUGCUUCACGUUCCACUGUUGUAGCCUGAGCACAGAUGUUGAAUCUUCAGUGCAUUCUUCAAAGUGCUUGAGUCUUCAGCAGUACUUAGGAAACAGCAGUAGAUAGAGCAUCAGUGUUUGUCUUCAGCAGUCGUUGGAUAAUCAUCAGAGUUUGGUUUAUCAGUUGUUGUAGUUGAGCAGCACUUAAGAUCCAUCAGCUGUUAGAUAACCACUGUC
rnacentral:lncRNA from 1 species